rnacentral:SRP_RNA from 1 species
GCUGAGCAUGGUGACGGAUGCUUGUCAUUCCUGCUACUGAGGAAGCUGAGGUAGUAGAUCACUUGAAUUCAGGAGUUCUGAGCAGUAGUCAAGCUAAUGCUGGUGGGUUGUCUACAAUCCAAGUCUAGCACCAAUAUGGUGAGUGCCUGGGGAUCAAAGGACUACCAGGCUGCCUAAGGAGGAAACAAACUGGCUUGGGUCAAAAAUGCAACAAGUCAGAACUUUCAGGUCAGCCAUGGGGUCAGCAGAAUAGCCACUAUACCUUCAGGCUGCACAAGAUAGGGAGACACUGUCAAU